UGGGGAAUUUUGGACAAUGGGGGAAACCCUGAUCCAGCCAUCCCGCGUGUGCGAUGAAGGCCUUCGGGUUGUAAAGCACUUUUGGCAGGAAAGAAACGUCGCGGGUUAAUACCCCGCGAAACUGACGGUACCUGCAGAAUAAGCACCGGCUAACUACGUGCCAGCAGCCGCGGUAAUACGUAGGGUGCAAGCGUUAAUCGGAAUUACUGGGCGUAAAGCGUGCGCAGGCGGUUCGGAAAGAAAGAUGUGAAAUCCCAGAGCUUAAUCUUUGGAACUGCAUUUUUAACUACCGGGCUAGAGUGUGUCAGAGGGAGGUGGAAUUCCGCGUGUAGCAGUGAAAUGCGUAGAUAUGCGGAGGAACACCGAUGGCGAAGGCAGCCUCCUGGGAUAACACUGACGCUCAUGCACGAAAGCGUGGGGAGCAAACAGGAUUAGAUACCCUGGUAGUCCACGCCCUAAACGAUGUCAACUAGCUGUUGGGGCCUUCGGGCCUUGGUAGCGCAGCUAACGCGUGAAGUUGACCGCCUGGGGAGUACGGUCGCAAGAUUAAAACUCAAAUGAAUUGACGGGGUC
rnacentral:rRNA from 1 species